UCUAGGCCAAAGGCAGAACUGCCAGUAGGGCCAGCUUGUUUUAUUUAAAUUGGUCCUAAUCUGCAAACCCAUAUUGAGAACCUAUUUUAUGCCUGCUUUCUUCCACAAAUCUCCUAAUUCUACCACAGAAAAACAAGCCAAUUCAUAGUGCUAGGAAACUACCCACUACUGUGUGUGUAGGUUAUCUGGAGGCACUGACUAGAGAUGACAGGCUCAAGUGACCCAGUGAUCCCACCAGUACGUCACAAAGUUGUGAAUUCUCUCCAUGGCAGUGCUGGCAGAAGUAAUCCUCCAGGACUAACGGAAUAAGAUUCCAUCCAUGUCCAGGGCUAUGGGGAACCUGCAGUCUGGAGUCGGAUUACGGUCUGGGUCUCCCCGAAAUUCACGGGUGGAAAUCUUCACCCUUAAUGUGGUGGUACUGAUGGGCGGAGCCUUUGAGACAUGGUCAGAUCUUGAACACCGCACCUUUCUAGAGGGCUCAGUCCCUUCACAAAAGAACCACUGCAAGCACCACCCCCAGCCAAGGUUUGCACGCCAAGUAAAGCGGCCAUAGCCGCCCCAGGAUCCUCCGCGCGGCGCAAGAUGGCCGCAGGGCUGUUAAAUUCCAGGCGAGGCACUUAAUGAUCCAGGUUUGAGCCAGCGUCGCCGCUUUUGCCCUUUACCCAGUGCUUUCACCUCAAAGCUCUUCGAGCACCUCCAGUUUGCCGUACUGGCUGGUCAAAGUGUGGCGACAGACGCGCACGCUCCACGCUCAAGGGCCGGGCGAACACCAGCCCUAGCUGUGGUUCCGCGGAGGAUGAGGAGAAAGCCACACGCAGCCGGUGCUAGAGCAGGGCAGAAGCUGCCUCUCCGCCCUGGUUAUUGAAGGGCAGAUAAGACGACUAAAAUAGAGAACGGAAAAAAGCCUAAGGGAAUCGUAUAGCAUGCGACAAGCAGCAUCCGGAUUGCAGCUGAGGCAGAGCACCGUCUCCAGACACCAACCCUGCGGACAGCCUCCAGAACUGUGAGCAGUAGAUUUUUGCUGUUUGUAAGUGACCCAAUCGAAGGUCUAUUGGUUUAGCAGGACUAAGAAUGUUCUGUUUGGGAUUUCGUUGUUAUCUGUGGUUCUUAGUGUCUCGUAAUCCUUUCUUGGAAAAAUGAAUCAAGUCAUACGAAAGGACUGCCGCUUAGAGAUGCAAAAUGUGAAUAGUGAUCCUUAGUUGAGCGCGGUUUUGCUUUGCUUUGCUUUGCUUUCUCUUAUUUUACUCUGAUCCGGUCGUUGAAACAGUGUGCCCACUUUAAGAUAUGUGGUGCAGAGAGUGCGUAAGUUUCCAGAAAGUGAUGUGUCUGAGGCUACAUUUUCAAACUAAAGUCUGAGCACCUGGGACCACCACCACAUUUCCUGGGAGCUUGUCAGCAACACAGAAUUAGAAUCUUGGGCCAACCCAAUCAAAAUCCUAGAACAACAAGAUCUCCAGUGAUUUUAUUUCAGAAAUCAAGCUUAUUAGAGAAACAUGGCUAGAAACUGAGUAUUAGAAGUGGAAACUUAAGAGCAUUGACUUUAAAAAUAAAACUUUGGAAAAAUACUGAAACAAA